rnacentral:rRNA from 1 species
GAUGAACGCUGGCGGCGUGCCUAAUACAUGCAAGUCGAGCGAACAGACGAGGAGCUUGCUCCUCUGACGUUAGCGGCGGACGGGUGAGUAACACGUGGAUAACCUCCCUAUAAGACUGGGAUAACUUCGGGAAACCGGCGCUAAUACCGGAUAAUAUAUUGAACCGCAUGGUUCAAUAGUGAAAGACGGUUUUGCUGUCACUUAUAGAUGGAUCCGCGCCGCAUUAGCUAGUUGGUAAGGUAACGGCUUACCACGGCAACGAUGCGUAGCCGACCUGAGAGGGUGGUCGGCCACACUGGAGCUUAGACACGGUCCAGACUCCUACGGGAGGCAGCAGUAGGGAAUCUUCCGCAAUGGGCGAAAGCCUGACGGAGCAACGCCGCGUGAGUGAUGAAGGUCUUCGGAUCGUAAAACUCUGUUAUUAGGGAAGAACAAAUGUGUAAGUAACUAUGCACGUCUUGACGGUACCUAAUCAGAAAGCCACGGCUAACUACGUG